rnacentral:tRNA from 1 species
GGAAGCAUAGCUCAGCUGGUUCAGAGCAUCUCGUUUACACCGAGAGGGUCCGCGGUUCGAAUCCGUGUGCUUCCA